rnacentral:lncRNA from 1 species
AAUAUAAAAGCACACAAACAACACAAAUAUGUGGAAGCCUAAAGAAAAUAUACGAAUGGUUCUAAAGAAAGAACGAGACUAGAGCCAAGAAAAAAAAACAUAGUUUGGACUUGAAAAUGAGACAACAAAGAAGCCUCAUCCUCAAACCAGGUUGGGCCAAAGCAAGAAGAUGAAGCUAUAAAGGUGGAAGUGGUGCGGAAGAUAUGGGGAUAAUGGUGGUUAAUCUCAGUUUAGAGGUUUAAGUGAUGGAAUAAGAUGAUUGAUGGUGCUCUUAGAGAGGUUGAGCCAACUCUAGAGAUGAGUGGCUAGAGGAACCUCAUGGGAUGCUCUAGCUAUGACUUAGAGGCAAGUUAAGAAUAACUCAAUAGUUUGACAACAUUUUAUUACAAAUCUCAAAGUGAGUUUACAAAGAGGGAGACACCUUUAUUUAUAGAUCAAGGUGUCUCCAAAGUAGACCAAAAUCCUAAAAUGUUAUCUUGCACCAAACUCUAAAAAUUCUAUCUUGGUAGAGGAGAGCUUGACAUGUGAGACUCUAACUUUUAGAAAAUUUUUCCACUCUUAGAGUGUCAUGUGUAAAGCCACUCUAGCAAAAGUUUCUCCACUUGGAAAAUGACACAUGACCACUACCUUUG